rfam:Flavobacteria bacterium GWF1_32_7 gwf1_scaffold_30, whole genome shotgun sequence.
AUCUAACCCUGAUGGAAGUGAGAAUCCUGUUAUUGUGAGAUUGCUUCGCAAGCUCGCAAUGACAGAUUGUAGCGAACAGCAGGAACACGG